rnacentral:lncRNA from 1 species
CAAACUCUGCAAGAUUUGGGGCCGCUCGUGCUGGCGUUGAACCGGACCACGCUGAGUUUGGUGGCCGAGGCAGCACGGGAGGAUUUCAGGAGGAGCAUCGCGGCCGCCUACAUCAGCCGGGGACAUUCCCAGCGGGAGAAAUCCCUGUCCCUCCUCCGGGCGCUUGCGGCAGCAUCGGCUGUCUCCCCGCCCAGGCGGCAGCGCAGCACGGACCGCUGCCUGUAUAAGCCCAUCACCUCCAAAAACAUCGAUGACAUCUUCAACAUCC